rnacentral:rRNA from 1 species
AUUGAACGCUGGCGGCAGGCCUAACACAUGCAAGUCGAGCGAGCGGCGGACGCGUGAGUAAUGUAUGGGGACUGCCCGAUAGAGGGGGAUAACUACUGGAAACGGUAGCUAAUACCGCAUACUAUCAGAUAUCCCAGAUGGGAUGAGCUAGUCGGUGGGGUAAUGGCUCACCUAGGCGACGAUCCCUAGCUGGUCUGAGAGGAUGACCAGCCACACUGGGACUGAGACACGGCCCAGACUCCUACGGAGGCAGCAGUGGGGAAUAUUGCACAAUGGGCGCAAGCCUGAUGCAGCCAUGCCGCGUGUAUGAAGAAGGCCUUAGGGUUGUAAAGUACUUUCAGUGGGGAGGCGUUACCGGCAGAAGAAGCACCGGCUAACUCCGUGCCAGCAGCCGCGGUAAUUC